rnacentral:tRNA from 1 species
CUCAGUAGCUAAGUGGAUAACGUGAUGGCGUUUAAAGCGAACGGUCUGGGUUCGAGUCCCAGAGUG